rnacentral:rRNA from 1 species
UACGUAGGUGACCAGCGUUGUCCGGAUUUACUGGGCGUAAAGAGCGCGCAGGCGGUCGUUCAAGUCGAGUGUGAAAGCCCCCGGCUCAACUGGGGAGGGUCAUUCGAUACUGAUCGACUCGAAGGCAGGAGAGGGAAGUGGAAUUCCCGGUGUAGUGGUGAAAUGCGUAGAUAUCGGGAGGAACACCAGUGGCGAAGGCGGUUCUCUGGGAAUGUCCUGACGCUGAGGAGCGAAAGUGUGGGGA